rnacentral:rRNA from 2 species
UUAUUGGGCGUAAGAGCUCGUAGGCGGUUUGUCGCGUCUGCUGUGAAAUCUGGGGGCUCAACCCCCAGCCUGCAGUGGGUACGGGCAGACUAGAGUGCGGUAGGGGAGAUUGGAAUUCCUGGUGUAGCGGUGGAAUGCGCAGAUAUCAGGAGGAACACCGAUGGCGAAGGCAGAUCUCUGGGCCGUAACUGACGCUGAGGAGCGAAAGCAUGGGGAGCGAACAGGAUUAGAUACCCUGGUAGUCCAUGCCGUAAACGUUGGGAACUAGAUGUGGGGGCCAUUCCACGGUCUCCGUGUCGCAGCUAACGCAUUAAGUUCCCCGCCUGGGGAGUACGGCCGCAAGGCUAAAACUCAAAGGAAUUGACGGGGGCCCGCACAAGCGGCGGAGCAUGCGGAUUAAUUCGAUGCAACGCGAAGAACCUUACCAAGGCUUGACAUAUACCGGAAACGUCCAGAGAUGGUCGCCCCGCAAGGUCGGUAUACAGGUGGUGCAUGGUUGUCGUCAGCUCGUGUCGUGAGAUGUUGGGUUAAGUCCCGCAACGAGCGCAACCCUCGUUCUAUGUUGCCAGCACGUUAUGGUGGGAACUCAUAGGAGACUGCCGGGGUCAACUCGGAGGAAGGUGGGGAUGACGUCAAAUCAUCAUGCCCCUUAUGUCUUGGGCUUCACGCAUGCUACAAUGGCCGGUACAAAGGGCUGCGAUACCGUAAGGUGGAGCGAAUCCCAAAAAGCCGGUCUCAGUUCGGAUUGAGGUCUGCAACUCGACCUCAUGAAGUCGGAGUCGCUAGUAAUCGCAGAUCAGCAACGCUGCGGUGAAUACGUUCCCGGGCCUUGUACACACCGCCCGUCAAGUCAUGAAAGUCGGUAACACCCGAAGCCAGUGCCUAACCCUUGUGGAUGGAGCUGUCGAAGUGGGAUCG